rnacentral:lncRNA from 1 species
ACUACGCAGGAAUCUGACACUGCGCAGGCCACAGCUGGCAGGGGUCCUCUCGUUUUCGACACGGCUGUGCUAUCGCUUCCCGGCCAAAAUUUCGCGUCCACGCGCGCGAAAGGGCGCGAAAUGUGGAAUCGCGGAAGUCGGUGGCAUCCGGAAUUAGUGUCAGGCUAACCAGUGGCGUAUAUUACUUCCAGUUCAUCUAGCUACGCUGAAGCACGGACGUUUCCUUCGGUCCGCAGUGCGGCGCGUUGCGGCCGAAGAACGUGGCCACUUUUUUGUUUUCCAUUCCUUGUGCCACGCUGUGUUUUUGUCGCUCGACACGCGGACCGUGUUUGACGAGUUCAUCUCCCACGUCUCGUGCGAUGACGCUUAUCAUGGUGGGUACCUACUUUCUGGUUAUAUUCCUCAUUUGAAAAGCUGCCCUUUUUUUUUUUUUUUUUUUUUUCAGGUACGCACCUCAGGCCUCCGCUUCCUCUCGUCCCGCCGCUGACCGUCUGUACACUUCUGCUCCAGCCACACAGGUACUGACCUCCUGGCCAAUGAAGAACCUUGCACGACCCGCCCUGCAGUACGUCGACUGCUCUUCGUCUGCAACCCUUCACACCCGCAGCCCCUGAAGAUUCGUUCCAGAUACAUAGUACGCCAUGACGUCCAGCACUCGCCGUAGGGCGGCAAGCCUUGCUCACGAGGCAGUUCGUCACAUUGCAACGCCCGCUGACCUGCAGGAAAAGUCCCUCUCUGCCUGCUCCGUGCUGCCUCGAUGACGCAGCACAACCACGGAGUCAUGACCCGAACACCGAUCACGACAUCCGUGUGGGAGCUCUUUCCGCCCGGUGGCUGUAUCAUGGCCGUUCGAUGACUCUAAUUGAGGUCCCUUACUGUUUGAUGAGCGGACCAAAACAAUUCCAGGUAACAUGCUGGCUUCUCUGGCACACUGCUCAGUCAAUCUGGAGGUUUGUGCACGUUAACUCGCAUCCUGUGCUCUCCUACGCUGAUGCUGGUUCGCAUUGUGAAGUUGCGCGCGCGUAUGUGUUCGUGUGAGCAUGCGUAUGUGUGCGUGUGAGGGUGUUGAUGCAUGCAUGUUGUCAAUUUACUGCACGCGCGUGCGACUUCGGUAACUUCAUCUGGUUGUUGACAUAUUUUUAGCUGGGUGCGUUCUCGCUUCUUCCAUGGAAUUAUUGGUGGCUGGUCUCGUCUCAUCUGUCAAUUCUUCAGAAAGCUCGUUGAUGGUUCCGCAGUGAUGGUCGCCAAUCUUUUCCAAAAUCAUUCGAACUUUGGCUCUGGGCGGUCCCCUUAAUUGAAAGGAGUCCAGUGGCCCUUGCGUCGUCAACUUUUCUUAUCCAAGCAGUCUCUGUUGGUACAUUUUCUGUUCAUAUCUUCCUUCUUUAUGCUGUUAUUCAUCAUGGCUAAUGCGAAGCAUCAGCGUACUGUUACAAAAAGCAUACGGUGUGAAUUAAAGGCAAUAAAACAUUUCCGUUAGCUUCUGAGCAUCAUGCUUACCCUUCGAAAUAUAGGACUGGCAUGGCACCAAGUUUAUUUUAAAAAAAACCUGUCUGCAGUCACGUUAGCGGUAAAGCUGCGUACCACUACAGCCAAGCAAACCAGAUCCUGAACCUCCCUUCAGCAAGAUCGGACAUUGAUCGGGCGCCACCACCGCACGGGCCUGCGAUGUUGCGUCUUGGUCACUGUUUCAUCACCGUUACUUUGGUGCUUCGCUGUUCAUUGCCCAGUGUGAAUAUACCGGCUAGCAUUCACUUGUACUUUUCUAUAAGAUGUACUUGCUGUACAAUCUUCAUUGGAACUUAAUAAAAUGACGAAGGUGUUU